CACCUCUAGCAUUACAAGUAUUAGAGGCAUUGCCUGCCCAGUGACUAUAGUUAAACGGCCGCGGUAUCCUGACCGUGCAAAGGUAGCAUAAUCAUUUGUUCCUUAAUUAGGGACUAGUAUGAAUGGCUAGACGAGGGAUCAACUGUCUCUUAUUUUCAAUCAGUGAAAUUGACCUUCCAGUGAAGAGGCUGGAAUACAAUAAUAAGACGAGAAGACCCUAUGGAGCUUAAAUUAACAAGCUUAAUUAUUACCUAAAUACCCUAAUGGAACAAAACAAAAAAUAUAAGCUUAAAAUUUUGGUUGGGGUGACCUCGGAGAACAAAAAAUCCUCCGAAAGAUAUAUAACAUAGACCUACAAGUCAAAGUAACUCAGUUAUCUUAUUGACCCAAAAAUUGAUCAACGGACCAAGUUACCCUAGGGAUAACAGCGCAAUCCUAUUUAAGAGUCCAUAUCGACAAUAGGGUUUACGACCUCGAUGUUGGAUCAGGACAUCCCAAUGGUGCAGAAGCUAUUAAUGGUUCGUUUGUUCAACGAUUAAAGUC
rnacentral:rRNA from 1 species